rnacentral:misc_RNA from 1 species
CAGAGUUGAAAAACUCCCUAAACACUUGUGAACUUACCUGUAUUGUUGCUUCGGUAGGCGGCCCCAGGGCGGGGCCGUAGCCUUUACAGGCGCCUGCCGGAGGUUUUAAACUCUAAAUUUACUUGUCUCUCUGAGCAACUUAUCAAUAAGUUA